AACCGCUCACACAAUCAGAAAAUUCUCUCAAAAUUGGAGCUCAUCUCAGAAAAUUCUCUCAAAAUCAAUUUGACCUCAUCUCAGAAAACUCAAAGAUUAGAGCUCAUCUUAUCUCCGACGGGCUGAUUUGCGGUGGUCAGCUAUCUCAUCUCUGACAACGAGCGAGCCGUUGAUAGCUGUCUCUCUCUGUUUGUUUCCUGAGAAAUUAUGGAAAUUACACUUAUAUCAAAUUCUUCAAGGAAAAGAAUGAUGGCAAAUUAAUAGCUGUUCUGGUAAGUGUUUCAUUGCUUUUAUGUGUACCUUUUGGUUUAUUGUAUUAAUGUGUUUCAAUGAGUUCAGUAAGAUUGUGUUGUAGAGUCUACUGGUGUUGAGUUCUCCUACAUUGUGAUCUUUCAUGGGGGGAGACAUCAUCUUUCUUUCUUCACAUUUUUAAGGUUUAGUUUACAGACAAAAGAAUACAGAUUGGAGGGAAGCAACCUUCUAGUUUAUUUCUUGCUUCUAUAUCUAUUCUUCUCAGUGAGCAGGUGCCUUUUGCAAAGGACUUGGCAGUGGUCAAUAUUUCUAGGAGAAUUGAACUGGGCAACCGUGCCAUAGGAUACAGCUCAUUUUAUAGGUAUUCAAUUCCUUUUUAAAUAUAUAAGCUUCCAAUUUUCUGUUAUGUCUACAGAUAAUGCCAUUUAUUAGGUAUUAACUUGGACGUAAAAUUUUAAAUUGUGGUUAGAUAUCAAAAUCUAGGGUUGGAUGGUGGUUAUGGAAUUUAAGUCAUUUUUGGUAGAAAUAAGAACUAUAUAAGUAUAAAACUUGAUGUUCUGAACUGCGGGCAAAUAUGAAUUGGAAGAUCAUUAGUUUGUACCUAAGAAUAUAAAGCAUAUAUGUGUGAGUAUGUGGGAUUUUAUCUUUUAACUUAGUUUUAUUUACUUAGUUCAAUUGUUUUUUAUUGGUAAGUUGGCUCUUAUAUUAGUUCUUAUUUAAUUAGCUUAAUUAGUAUUUUGUUUAAUUUCUUAGAGUCGAAGUCAUAUUUUGUAAUUCGAUAAUUGGGUUAUUGCCCCAAACUACUAAUUGGACUAGUAAACAAACAACUUGAUAAGGUAAUACCUAAUAAAAAGCUAACUUGGACUCUAACACCAGGAAAGUGUUGAACUUCGUAUUUUAAGUUGUUAUGCAGUGCUUUUGUUUAAUGUAUACAUUUAUGCUUUUUUCAUGAGCCAUUGUUGCAAUUCAAAGUCUCACUUAACUUCCAACUGUAUACUUUUAUAUCCCUUGUAUGUUUUACAGGGUGCACCGUGUGCUUCUUAUCAGCUUGCUGUUUCUAUUAGCCAAAAUUGGGCAAAAAAGCUUGGGCCAUUUAUUUGUGAGUUUUUAACAAAUUGUAUUCUGGAUAGAGAUGCUGUAGAGAAUGAGCUCAAAGAAUUUUACCAUGAAAUUAUUUUUCAAAUUUUACAGUGUGCUCCUCAGAUGCAAUGUUUAUACAAUGUGCUUGUCUCCAAUUCAAUGAAAUGAAGCAUACACAUCAGAAGAGGCUGUUGAAGAGCUGUUGCAAGUUCUUUCCAUAAAGUCAUUGACGAAGUUGGAAGAGAUACUUGGAGGUGCUGGGGAAGCUAUUGCUGAUCUGAAGCAGCUGUUUUCCCUUGCUUAAAAGUUUGGUUAUGCUGAAUGGAUUGAAUUUGAUGCAUCUAUUGUCCGUGGGCUUGCAUACUACACUGGUAUUGUGUUCGAGACUGAUCAAGUUGAUGUCCGAAUAAAAGCUGUUAAUUUAGUUGGGAAUCUUUUUGCGCUGCCCAAACAGCAAGUUGCACAACAUUACCAUGAUUUUUUCUUAGAGUUCUUGAAAAGAUUCUCUGAUAAAUCUGUGGAAGUUAGAGUGAGCGCUCUACAAUGUGUUAAAGCUUUCUACAUGGCUAGUCCUUCUGGAAUAGAAUCUCAUGAAGUUAUCAGUAACUUAUGAGCAAUCAAAUUUGUACUGUUAUGAUAGAAAAUCUCUUGAUUCUGUUGUCUUUUGAAUCUACUUAACACAACUCAUUUGUUUAAUGCUUACUAAUUAAGCAACUGCCCUUGAAGAUCGAUUGUUAGAUUUUGAAUAUAUAUUUUGCUAUAAAGCAUAUCAUCUCAACAAUUGUGAAUUU